CCAAGAUCAUCCCCUGCUCCCAUGUCCAAAAAGAUAAAGCCAAAUCCAAGCUUCCCACGCGUCUGGUUCACCUCCCCUGCUUCACCUCCACAGCCGUUCGUUAGUCCAUAUCAAUCCUUCAUUCCAAACUUCCUUAACUUCCCAGCCAUUCCGCUCCCAUCCACAAACAAAGCCACGUCUUCUCCUUCCGAAGUAUCUCCCAGCCGUUCCACUUUCCCUGUUCCAUCAUUAUCCCAUCUCCCCUUCCAGAUUAACUCCCAGCUCAUCUUUUCUUCUUCCAACGAUCUCCUCCCAGCCAAAACCGUUCCAUCCAUCUUCACGGGAUAAACUCAAAUCCCAUUCCCUAGCCAUGAGCUUCUACCACAAAAUCCAAGUUGCCGUGAGAAUCAGAUCAAGCUAACCUUCUUCGGAAUAAAUCCCAGCUUGCAAAACAGAGCCAGCUCGUUCAUUCCAUCUUCCCCAAUGAGAACCACUUGUGUCACAGUAUGUAUUCCAUAUUUUCUCUUCCAAAUCCGAACCAGCUUGAUCUCUAGCAUCCAUGGAUUAGAACUCACCUUCCGGAUUAACUUCCAGCCAUCCCCUGUUUCGGAACCACCUCAUCCCAACCACAUCGUCUCCUGUUCCCGCAACCGUAUGCGUCUUCUAGAUUUCCUCCUAGCUGCAACCAGCCAAUCUCCCGUGUCAUAGCUUCCGAUCCAUCUUCCCAGAUUUCACGGAAAUAGAACAGAGCAAGGGAGCUUGAUCUCUAGCAUCUACGGGAUAAACUCGCAUCCAACCCAUCAUUUCCUUCUCCGAAUCCCCUGCAUCCUCAUCCCGUUCGCAAAUCAAGC
rnacentral:lncRNA from 1 species